UUUCUACAUUCCAUUUUAUUUUUUUUUACCCUUCACAAACACGCUUGUUAAAUAUAGGGGAUAAGUAAGCAUAAUAGUAAAAAUUCUCGGAAGUGACCGUUCUCCUUUAAAGAGGAAGCUCCAUUAGGAGCUCUGACUCACGCUUCACUAAUACUAAAUAGCACCAGUGAGACUCAUUUCUUUUUAAGUAAAUGAAAUGUUGCUUGUAGCACUAUAUGCUUGUGCAAUUAGAAUGACUGCUGUCAUUACAAUGAUUUGCAUGGGGCCCUUGGUGAAUGUAUACAGAACAUUUGCAUGAAAGAAUCCUACUCUAAUUAGCCUUGAAAGUGGAAUGCCAAAGUGUUAAGCCAAG